UACAGAGGUCUCAAGCGUUGUUCGGAUUCAUUGGGCGUAAAGGGUGCGUAGGUGGCGCGCUAAGUCAGGUGUGAAAUUUCGGAGCUUAACUCCGAAACUGCAUUUGAUACUGGCGUGCUUGAGGACUGGAGAGGAGACUGGAAUUCAUGGUGUAGCAGUGAAAUGCGUAGAGAUCAUGAGGAAGACCAGUGGCGAAGGCGGCUCACUGGCCCGGUACUGACGCUGAGGCGCGAAAGCGUGGGGAGCAAACAGG
rnacentral:rRNA from 1 species